rnacentral:misc_RNA from 1 species
CACAUGGAGAGAAAAGAAGGAGAUGGAAAGGUGUAUAUACAGAGAGGAAAUGAGAGUAUGGCUUGUCGGCCAUUAAAGUUCCAAGGACGAGCUAAAGUUCGUCCCUUUUCAAUUGCUUUCGUUUCGUUUCAAUGUCUCUAAUACGAAACCACAAAAAAUCUCUCUUUUUUGUUUCGUUGCACUUUUGGUUGUUUGUUUUGUUUCUCAUAACCAAGAGGAAAGAGUGUAAGAGUUUUUUUUUAUUAAAUCUUCUGGGUCCAAAAUCUUGGACCUUAGAUCCGAAGAUCCCCACCAUUUGUGGCGAAAGGUGAACUGGGUUCGCUUUUGGUUUUCUCUGUCGAUUAAUGAAUUCCACAGUUUCUUUCUCCCUGUGGUCUCAAGGAGUAACAGCGAAGUGGUGCAGUUGUUGCUUUUACUGUGUCUUCUUUGACGAGUGAUUGAUUGAUCAUUUGGCUUAAACAGAUUUGAAAGUAUCUCAUUAUGCUAUAAUCAUGAUAAAGCUGAGGCAUAAUAAAAUGUCAGCACAUAUCAAAUCAAGGAGAACUUUUGAAGCAGGGUUUACA